GAUGAAGAACGUAGCAAAAUGCGAUACUUGGUGUGAAUUGCAGAAUCCCGUGAACCAUCGAGUCUUUGAACGCAAGUUGCGCCCGAAGCCAUUAGGCCGAGGGCACGUCUGCCUGGGCGUCACACAACGUUGUCCCCCCACACCUCGACUUCCAAGAGGACGGGGGGCAGAUGCUGGCCUCCCGUGCGCCACGGCUCGCGGUUGGCCCAAAUGCGAGUACUCGGCGACGAGCGCCGCGGCAAUCGGUGGUUGUCCAACCCUCGGUGCCAUGCUGCGCGCGCUAGCCGCUCACUGUUACUCGACGACCCCAAUGCGUCGUAUCCACGACGCUCACAACACGAACCCAGGUCAGGCGGGGCUACCCGCUGAGUUUAAGCAUAUCAAUAAGCGGAGGA
rnacentral:misc_RNA from 1 species